rnacentral:rRNA from 1 species
UACGUAGGCAGCGAGCGUUGUUCGGAGUUACUGGGCGUAAAGGGUGUGUAGGCGGUUGUUUAAGUUUGGUGUGAAAUCUCCCGGCUCAACCGGGAGGGUGCGCCGAAUACUGAAUGACUAGAGUGCGGGAGAGGUGAGUGGAAUUCCUGGUGUAGCGGUGAAAUGCGUAGAUAUCAGGAGGAACACCGGUGGUGUAGACGGCUCACUGGACCGUAACUGACGCUGAGACACGAAAGCGUGGGUAGCAAACAGG